GCAUAUCAAUAAGCGGAGGAAAAGAAACUAACAAGGAUUCCCCUAGUAACUGCGAGUGAAGCGGGAAAAGCUCAAAUUUAAAAUCUGGCGGUCUUUGGUCGUCCGAGUUGUAAUCUAGAGAAGUAAUGCCCGUGCUGGACCGUGUAUAAGUCUCCUGGGAUGGGGCGUCAUAGAGGGUGAGAAUCCCGUCUUUGACACGGACUACCAGUGCAUUGUGGUAUGCUCUCAAAGAGUCGAGUUGUUUGGGAAUGCAGCUCAAAAUGGGUGGUAAAUUCCAUCUAAAGCUAAAUAUUGGCGAGAGACCGAUAGCGAACAAGUACCGUGAGGGAAAGAUGAAAAGAACUUUGGAAAGAGAGUUAAACAGUACGUGAAAUUGCUGAAAGGGAAACGCUUGAAGUCAGUCGCGUUGGCCGGGGAUCAGCCUUGCUUUUGCAUGGUGUACUUUCUGGUUGACGGGUCAGCAUCAAUUUUGACCGCUGGAAAAGGGCCUGGGGAAUGUGGCAGCUUCGGCUGUGUUAUAGCCCCUGGUCACAUACGGCGGUUGGGAUUGAGGAACUCAGCACGCCGCAAGGCCGGGUUUCGACCACGUUCGUGCUUAGGAUGCUGGCAUAAUGGCUUUAAGCGACCCGUCUUGAAACACGGACCAAGGAGUCUAACAUGCCUGCGAGUAUUUGGGUGAAAAACCCGAGUGCGCAAUGAAAGUGAAAGUUGAGAUCCCUGUCGUGGGGAGCAUCGACGCCCGGACCAGAACUUUUGGGACGGAUCCGCGGUGGAGCAUGUAUGUUGGGACCCGAAAGAUGGUGAACUAUGCCUGAAUAGGGUGAAGCCAGAGGAAACUCUGGUGGAGGCUCGUAGCGAUUCUGACGUGCAAAUCGAUCGUCAAAUUUGGGUAUAGGGGCGAAAGACUAAUCGAACCAUCUAGUAGCUGGUUCCUGCCGA
rnacentral:rRNA from 1 species